CGCACGACCUCACGCCCCCGCGCCGUUCCUCCUCCUUGCAGCCGGGCGCGGGCCGCAGGUCGCUGAGUCGCCGCCCCGAAGCCGCCGCUCGCAGGUCGCCGAGCCACCGCCGGAGCCGCCCUUCACCGCGGGCCGCGGGAGCCGCCGCGCCCUUCGCCGCAGGUCGCCGCCCAAGCCGCCGCCGUGUACAGCGAGGUGCAGACGAGCCGCAUCAGCACACGCUGCCCCUCCCCUCUGUCCUCCGCUUCCAUUUCACGCUCGCCGACGGGCCCACCACUGCCGCCGCGGGAAGCCCCGAUGAGAUCGCCAAGCUGUUCCCCAACUUGUACGGCCAGCCGAAGCCGGUCGCAGCGAAGCUGCUCAAGAUCAGCCUCGUGCUUUCUGGUGGCUAGGCUCUAGGGGGGCAGAAUGUGAUCUGCAACGUUUUUGGCAGCACCAUGUAUGGAUUCAGGGGAGGCCCGGCUGGUGUCAUGAAGGGAAGUACGUCCAGGUGACUGCUAAUUUCAUGUACCCCCAAUGAAACCAGGUAUGUCAACAUAACCUUUACUAAGCACAUUUAUUGAAAUUUCGGUACUUCAUAUAGACUUUGGUCAUCAACAUUUUCAAAACGGGAAGUGGAACAUCGAUAGGUAUUUUGCUUAGGUACUUCCAUGAAUUAACAGAUGAUAGUUUUUUUCUCUUGAAGUAUCCUUGUGCGUAUAACAAAUUUAUGACCAUAAGCAUGACAAAUAUAUGAUGUAUUCUUGUCCUUUUCCAACAUAAGAGCUCUACCCCAGCACCGCUUCCCCAUCUCUGGUCGUUCCCUUGCACUCCUCCAUGGCGUCUGGGAAGAUGGGCCACCACCGAAGCUGCUCUCAGUAAUCGCCAAACUGUACCUGCUAGAUUAACGAGGUCACAGCCGAGGCUGACCAUCGCCGCGCCAACUCAUGGGUUCGAUGUGGGUUUAUUUGCAUAUUAUUUACUAAAGAAAAUGGUUUGAGGUGAAGAGCCAAAGGCCUGAAGCCAAAUGUUCCUAACAGAACGACGAUCCGCAGGAAACAAGGCCAACGCUAUGUGGGCCUGCAAGAUUGAAGAUCCCAGAUAUUUUACUUUUCUCCAUGAUCUUACACCAUUGUUGCUUCAUGUAGAUCCCUUUAUCAUUCAUUUUUUAUUUUUUAUUGUUGAAAUCUCUAUAUGGUUGUCAUAGAUGCUAUUACAAGGAUUUAGCACUAUAUUUUUCAUGUGUUGUCGUAAACAAAACUCCCUUUAUACUGAUACAUAUAUGUUUUUUUCUUUUAAUUAUAGUAUUACUUUUCGGACUGGUCGGGCUUUCUAGACUUCUAGAUUGGAAGAAGUUUGUUUGAAAUCUACCUUUGGAUUUCAGAAAAUUCAGAAUAAGUUCCUACGUACACCAGCCGUAACUAGAUAACUCAUGUAUUACGCAAUGCUCUGCGCCAUUAUCCGUGGAGUAUUUGCAACUGUAUUCUUUGUUGUUUGAUGCUCAAUCAGGUGAGUUUGUUUUUCCAUCUUUGAUUCAUAGUUGCUGGCACAAAUUGGCCAGUGCAUUUGGUCCAAUCACUAACAACAAUUUCCACAUGUCAAUUGGGGAAACAUAUGCCCAUCAUCAGUGCACUUUUUGCCAAAAAAAUUCUGUUCUAUGUAUACAUGCAGUUCCGGCAAUUAGCUGCAACAACUGUUUUUUAUUUUCUUUUGCUGUUAGGGCUUGCGGCCAUACAUGUUAAACAAUAAGACGAUUUAAUUUGUGGUCUACCAAUAAGUUUGUUAAUAGUUGCAACUAAAAAUAAAUCUACUUUUUGCUAAUAGUGGCCAAAUAAAAGAGGAUCCAGACUAUGACAAGUUUACAUUGUACAGAAUCAGUGCUAACAAUAAAUUUCUCUCUUUUCUUCUUAUUUAUAUUGAUAAUAGCUCCUGAAUUAAUUUUUAACUACAACUCCCCCUUUGUAGAAUGAUUAAAUUUUUAUGCACGAACAAUAACCCUGUUUUAUUUUAAGAAUGGGGCUCUAAAAUGGAUGGAGGAGGAGCUUAAGUUCGGCAGCCAAAUAUGGCAGGCAUGUUGUGUAUAGAGUUUGCGUCAUUCGAUAACCAUGAUGACAGGUAACUUGACUAUUUUGUAUCUGUAUUUCAGGUCUUCCCCUAAUCAUUUUCUUUCUAAAGAACACCUCUGAAGUUUCAUUACACAGGAAGUGAGUCACUAUGGCUAUCAUGGAAAUUCGAGUAUUUAGCAUUUUCAGUAUGUUACUUCCCCCCUCUUUUGUGAGUUAACUAACAUAAGGUUGCUUCAAAUGGAAUAUGUACUAAUAGUUGCAUCACAUUAUGCAUUUCCUUCAUUUUAAACCUACCAAGUUACUUGUGUGUCCAUCAUGAUAUUGGUGCGAUUUAUUUUCCUAAAGGUAUAUUCAUCUCAUCAGAAAUUUAUUUUGUGUGCCUUUUGUCUUCCUAAAUUUCACGUGUUCUUUUCCUGGUUAGCUAACCAAUUAUUAUUCUAGCGCAUGAUCUAUUAAGGGCUUUUUACCUUAUUGUACAGUUUAUCAUUCUAGAACACUAGACUUUUCUCCAUAGUUAGGAUGUUGAUAUGAAAAGUUUAAUUCAUGUUUAAUCUUUCCAGAGCUAAGCUUAGCUUAGGAGAAACUGUGGCUUGCUGCAUGCCAUCUGUGUCAUACAAAAAUGUUAAAUUCCAUUUCUUCAUUUUUGUACAUCAAUAUGUUGCACUACAUGAGAUGAGACAAGCUCAGAAUGGGAGCAAAAUAGUCCUGACUACUGGCGAAUUCUUCUAGCUCGCCGUGUUCCCACUGGUGGCGUUGUAGUCAAGCUCAACAAUUCAACUUGUGAAGAUAACAUGUAGCCCGAACCCAAGAGGGAACGGAUUUAGUUUUUCCAUGACAACUAUUUUUUUAUAUUUAUUAAAAAUUUGCAGCCAUGUUCACUUGGGCAAUACCUAUACCUAUUAUAAGUCCUUCAAGUUCAGACAAGAAAAAUUAGAUAUCCUGAAAUCUUUACUAUACAAUCAUUUUGGUCUUCUCGAACUUCAAAUUACAUCAUCAAAAGACAUGUGGGAUCAUCAGGCACUAUAGAUAUUCUUUUUCCCCAAAGUUCUAGAAUAUGAAUUAAGAAUUCAAUACUCAUGUGAUUUUAAUAGGCUACUUCGAUCGAGACGUGGGUUGCACGUGCAAGCUUACUAGUAUAGACAAGAUGGACGGACCAAAAAGGACAAAAUUACGGUGAUAAAAAGUCAUAGCUCCUUUAUUAUUAGGUAUAGAUAUAGAUGAAGACGCAGUGGAUCCCGACCCUUGCCGGCGGAAGGACUCAUGCUUUGUUUCGGCUUUUUUAGUAUGUUUAGGGUUUGUGUCCUGCUCAUAAAAAUAAGGCGGCGGUGACUUUUUAAAAAUGGAAUAAGGUUCUUCAUAAUGGUCCUAGCCCACGUCUCGGUGAUGCACCUUGAAUAGUCGGAUGGUGUGUGGAGAUGUGUCUCCCGUCGAUCUCACACGAUCUGGUCAUCGUUUGUCUUUGGAGGUUCGUCUGCGUCCAUGUGUCUACAAAUUGGAUCAUUCUGAUCUACGUUUCUCUUCAUCGACGGCGGUUGUUGUUCUAGUGCGUUGGUCCUUUGUGGUCUUAGCACGACGAUUUUUUUUGCGGGGAACUUCAGAGAGCUUUAUUCAACAAAAGCAUUCACUGAGCAGUCAGCCAGAAGGUUGCUGAUCAGGAAACUAGGGGUAGAGUCUAACCAGCUCCCAGUCACAUUAAGCGUAGUACCGCGCUUAGCACAUAGAUGUGCGGGACUGUUUGCUGAUCUUAUUACAUGUUGAAUGUUGAAGGAAAUAAAACUAGGAGCUAGCUCUCCAAUUUCAGACAAGAUAGGUGCUAUCACCGACCGGUCGAUGUAGCGAGUAUUCCAGAGGUUAACUGCCUCUAGACAGUCGGUCUCCAUGAUCACAUGCGUGUAGCCUCGCAAUAUUGCGAAUCUCACUCCUUCCUUCAGCGCCAAAGCCUCCGCGAUGAGGGGGUCCGUGACACCUGAGAACGGCUUACACCAUGCACCCUUGAAUCCCGAUGAAGAGCGUGCAACACCCCCCAGCCCUGCAUUCCCGCCGUCGAGAUGAACAGCGGCAUCUGUAUUAAUCUUUAUGUAUGGGUUAUCAG